GGCCAAGGAAAUAUGUUCUAUAAUUUGUUUCCAUAAAAAGAAGAGUGUUGAAAAUGGAAAAAGUUAAGGAGCCCAUCAAGGAUACCACAUUAUAUUUAGUCGUCAUGUCUCCUUAAGCCUUCUCUGGACUAUAUAUUCUUCGCCUACACAUGUGCUCUGUGUCCCAGGAGUCUGCAUAGUAUUGACUGUAUCAGUGACCUCCUUGCCCUCUGGCAGAAUAUCAGAGUUGAAACAGAGAAUACAGUCAGGGUACAAAUAAAUGGAAGGAGGUGAUGGUUCUAAUGAAGAGACAGG